rnacentral:rRNA from 1 species
CCUACGGGAGGCAGCAGUGGGGAAUUUUGGACAAUGGGCGCAAGCCUGAUCCAGCCAUGCCGCGUGCGGGAAGAAGGCCUUCGGGUUGUAAACCGCUUUUGUCAGGGAAGAAAUCCUUUGAGAUAAUACCUCGGAGGGAUGACGGUACCUGAAGAAUAAGCACCGGCUAACUACGUGCCAGCAGCCGCGGUAAUACGUAGGGUGCGAGCGUUAAUCGGAAUUACUGGGCGUAAAGCGUGCGCAGGCGGUCUUGCAAGACAGAUGUGAAAUCCCCGGGCUCAACCUGGGAACUGCAUUUGUGACUGCAAGGCUAGAGUACGGUAGAGGGGGAUGGAAUUCCGCGUGUAGCAGUGAAAUGCGUAGAUAUGCGGAGGAACACCGAUGGCGAAGGCAAUCCCCUGGACCUGUACUGACGCUCAUGCACGAAAGCGUGGGGAGCAAACAGGAUUAGAUACCCUGGUAGUCCACGCCCUAAACGAUGUCAACUGGUUGUUGGACGGCUUGCUGUUCAGUACGAGCUACGCGUGAAGUUGACCGCCUGGGGUGGUACGGCGCGAGUAGUUAGUUAGAAGAGUUGNGGNGNGAGAGNGCGAGGACGACGACGAGGGAGGAGG